rnacentral:rRNA from 3 species
CAUGCCUGUUCGAGCGUCAUU